UAAGUGGGUUAGGUUUUUCAACUUUAAAAUUGUUUUGUUGUAAACAUGCAGCGCCCAUGCUCACAAAGUCCUAAACUAAUUUUAUUAAAUUAAGGAGUUGGCAAACCACUUACAAAAUUAUGGACUCAAGGAAUUAAAAAAACUGGUCCAUUUCCUACUAUCCUAACCCGUCUCCCCCAACCAUUUUCUGCCAUCCAUUAGGUCCUUUAAAUAAUUAAUGUCUUAAGUCUUGCAUGACCAAACUUUCCACUUCCCAUUUUGGGGAGAGAGAGAGAGAGAGAGAGAGAGAGAGAGAGAGAGAGAGAGAACCAUAUGGGGUAUUCAGGAUUUCAGGGAGAGGGGUAGGGGUCAUGAGCAGAGGCUCAGUGUUGUGGGGUGAAAAGUUAUUUGAAAAUAAUGGAAAGAACAUUUUCUGCAUCGUGAUUCUUUAAUUGUAUGAUAAUGUUUCCAAUGUUUUAGAUUACAUUGAUCUGUAUUAUUUUAAAGUAUAUAUGAAGAUUAGUUUAUAGGUGUAUGCACUUAAAUUGGAUAUAUGGUAUUUUUCAGAUUAUUUGACAUACAAUUGCAUAUAAUCUCAAUUUUUCUCAUGCAAUUUUUGUCUGAGCUUCGGAAUCGUUGAAUAGGAUAAUUCAUACUUGGAUAGCUACAUCAGCACAAUUGGAGUUGAAUUUAUUAAAUGUCCUAUUUACAGCAAAGCCGUCAGGUUUGGGCUGAUAUUGGGGCUGGGUUGGAAGGGCAAUUUUGUCCUGUGCGUUUGAGACAGAUUGGGGUGGGUUUAGGUUUGCUGUCAUUCAGUGAGUGCUUUCGGGAAUGGGAGGCCAUGCCUCCGAUAGGGAGAGAGACAGAGCGAGAGAGAGGGAGCGGGAGGAGUGGGGAUCUCAGCACCAUUUCUGCAGAUCCUCGAUUUCAUUUGGCUUCGUUUUCCCUUUCUGAAACCCUAGCAGCCACAACACCAUCUUUGGAAUAGCAUCGGCUUCCUGCUUCCUAAAAUCAAAACCACUCAAAGUGGCCUUCAUUUCUGUAACUCGAGAGCUUCGGUGAGAUGGAGGAGAGGAGCAUGGAGAUGGGCUCGAGUCCGCAAACGACGGAAGAGAUCUUGAGGUUCAUGGAUUGUUAAGGAGAGUGUGGGAAAGAAAGGGUGCCUCACUGCUUAGGCACUGGAAAUCAAUUAUUUCCAUCGGAAGAACUACUUGGAGUACGUUUGGGAGCAAGCUGAAAUUGAUAUCAUUGAGCACAAGACAAGAAAAAGCCUCCAUUUCCAUCUCCUAAAAGCAGCAGUAGAAAAUUAAACAAGCAUUUUCAUACAGCUGGAGGCUGUGGUCACUGCCUGACAUCAAAGACUACUUAGAAGUGGCAGCCUUUAAGUCCGUUCAAUUUUUAAUGCGCAAGAUGCAAGACAACAGAAAAAUCCGAAGAACAGAGGAGUUUACUAUCGGCCGGGACAUAAAAUAUGAAGAGAUGAAACGUUUUCAUCAACAUGAUUCUUGGAAAUAAGAAGCGUGCUUAUGUUUUUGUCACAGAUCCUGAAGAAAACUAUAGAUCUGCAUGCGUUUGUAUCUUCAUAGAAUUCUAACUGUUGUUCUGGUGAGAAAAUAAUCUCAAAACAUAUGAUGUGAAGUGGACUUGGCUAAUAAUUCAUUUUGAUUAUGUAUAUGCAGAAUUAGUAGCUGAGAAAAUAGAAUGGGCAAGUAUACAAAUGGAUUUGAUUUGAUUCUUGGAGCUCACAUAUAUCUCCACAAUUGUUAAUUUUUAUCAUGCGUUGGUGGUGGGUACCUGAUACGGUACCUCUGGCUCUCUUCUUCACUGCAACAAGUUGCCAAAAAACCUUUACAGAAAUGGAUGCAUCCAUUCUUUUCCCUGGUACAGUUUGCUGCAGCCAACGUCGAAUUCUAUCUAAUUAGGGAAAAGGUCCAACAAAUUUCCACUAGAUCCAUCAAGCGCAUGAUUAAGCUUUUGAAAUUUCUGUGAAAUUGAAGGUCAGUAGAUCUCUUAAAUUGAUGAGGGGGCUACAAUUCGUACAAGGAAACUAGCCAGAGAUAUGCUACUAUUUUGGAAGAGAGUGGAUAAAGAGAUGGACUUAUCGAAUGAAGGCAGCAGCAAGGGAAUUUGAGCCUUGGCCUGUAGAGAUACGAUUUUGUAAGGAAGCUAGGUUUGAACCCCUUACUUGCCACUCAUCAGUGGUUGCUAUUUCUGGAACUUCUACUUGAAUUUCUAUGAUCUGAUUUUAUAGUUUAUUUCUCUUGCAUUUUGUGAAUCUCAGUGAUGGGCGCAAGAGCUGAUGAAGAGACAAUUGAAAGAUUAAUUGAGACGGGAGACGGUGAACAAAUUUUCCAGAAGGCAAUCCAAGAACAAGGGGGAGGCUAGAUAAUGGACACUCUGACCGAAAUUCAAGAGCGACAUGAUGCUGUUAGAGAUCUUGAGAGGAAGCUUCUCAAUUUACAACAGGUUUAGUUUGAUUCCAACUCCUUUUUGAAUAAAAAAAUUGGUUGUUUUUUUAUUUCUAUAGGGGAGUUGCAGGUGUCCGUGUCAGAUUCAUAAGGAAAAAGAACAAUUUUUGUGGAUAUAUUGAAACAUUCUGCUUGAAUCAGGACUUAUCGAAUCAAGGCAGCUGCAAGGAAAUUUGAGCUUUGGCAUGUAUAGAUACGAUUUUGCAACGAAGCUAGUCAGAAAGAAGGCACUCAAAUUACUUCUGCUCCAACCCAUUUCAACAAUUUAUCAAGCUUUAGUUGAAGCUCCUGGGAAGCAUAUCCAUUAUAUUGCCAACCUUGAAAAGCCUUGGUAAAUAAUGUACACAGUGGUGUUGAAAGUUUUCCUCAUUAUGCUCCUAUGCCCAGUUGGUCAGGUGUAUAUGACAUGCAGUGAGCUCGGGGACACGGAUAGGUUAAUUCAUCCAUGAUGUUGAGCCCUGUCUUGAAUGGUAUCUUGGGCGCCGCGUUUUAGAUGCUUAGGAACCAAAGAGAAAAAAGAAUGAGCUCAAGGGUGCAAUAUCGUUGAAGAUCAGCCCUAAACAAGUGCCUGGCCUGUAGGACAAGUAUUUAGCCACCUUUACUACAGGGGCAAAAUAUGUGUGGACUACAUCUUCCUUCUGUUUCUUCUGUAACUUAUGGAAACAGGCAUCCUGCAUCUUUUUAGCUUUGAACAUUAGUGCUUGAAAGAUUAGCUGCUGAAACAAGAACAACACACUUUUUUUUGCUUUUUUGUUUAGCUGUUAAAACACGUGCUUGGCCUGUAGGACAUAUAUUUUGCCAUCUUAACUUGAAGGGCAAUAUAAGUGUUAAAUGCAUGUUACUUCUGUUUCUCAAGGAAACAGAGCAUUUUUUUGCAACUAUACCUUUUAUAAUCAGCUCGGUUGAAUGUAUAUAAAAGUCGAACUGCUUAUCUUA